AGCGACGAAUCCAGGUAUUCGUUGCUGAAUCAACGACGAAUACAUUAUUUGUAAUUAAUUUAGUAACAAAUCCUAGAUUCGUGCUAAAUUUAGGGAUCUGAAUCCUUGGCUCUUGACCCUAAAUUUUCAACCUCGCGAAGAAUCUACGCUCGCACUGCACACUCUCCUGUGUUGGUUCUCUCCAACUCGUGAAGCACUCCGAGCACAGUCGAUAAAGGUAAAGGAAAGAUGGACUAGCGGAGGCUGAAGGUCAAUGCAGUGAAGAUGUGUGUGGAUGGGAACAUGGAAUAAAGAUGUUUGGGAUCUAGCAAACUUGCACUUAGUAUUUCUGAUUUUAGUUACUUUCCUACAUUAUAGAAUGUUUGAGUAGCAUGAAUUGUGUAGUAUGCAUUAAGUUUGUUAUUAGAUAGUACCUUAUGAGUAAUGUUAUGCCUAGUAGUUUGGUUUUA